UACAGAGGUCCCGAGCGUUGUUCGGAUUCAUUGGGCGUAAAGGGUGCGUAGGCGGCGGGGCAAGUCUGAUGUGAAAUCCUGGGGCUCAACCUCAGAACUGCAUUGGAUACUGCCUUGCUAGAGUACUGGAGAGGGAACUGGAAUUUACGGUGUAGCAGUGAAAUGCGUAGAGAUCGUAAGGAAGGCCAGUGGCGAAGGCGAGUUCCUGGACAGUGACUGACGCUGAGGCACGAAGGCCAGGGGAGCAAACGGG
rnacentral:rRNA from 1 species